GGAUUAGAUACCCUAUUAUUUAUGAUGUAAAAUAUUUAAACUUGAGUAGUAUUAGUUAUGGUCUUGAAACUUAAAGAAUUUGGCGGUAUUUUAGUCUAUUUAGAGGAAUCUGUUCCAUAAUCGAUAAUCCACGUUGGACCUUACUUAAUUUAUUAAUUUGUAUACCGCCGUUAUUUAAAUUUUUUUAGAACUUAUUUCUUUAAUAUUUUUGGAUAGUAUUUCAGGUCAAGGUGCAGUUUAUGAUUAAGUGGAAAUGGAUUACAAUAUAUUUUUAUAUACGGAUUAUUUUUUGUAAUUAUUAUAUGAAGGUGGAUUUAAUAGUAAUAUUUUGUAUAUUAUAAAUGUGAUUUUAGCUCUAAAAUAUGUACACAUCGCCCGUCGCUCUCGUUAUUUUAAAGUGAGAUAAGUC
rnacentral:rRNA from 1 species